rnacentral:rRNA from 1 species
UACAGGGGGGGCAAGCGUUGUUCGGAAUUACUGGGCGUAAAGGGCCAGUAGGCGGCCAACUAAGUCACACGUGAAAUCCCCAGGCUUAACCUGGGAACUGCGUGUGAUACUGGAUGGCUUGAAUUCGGGAGAGGGAUGCAGAAUUCCAGGUGUAGCGGUGAAAUGCGUAGAUAUCUGGAGGAAUACCGGUGGCGAAGGCGGCAUCCUGGACCGAUACUGACGCUGAGGAGCGAAAGCGUGGGGAGCGAACGAGG